rnacentral:tRNA from 1 species
UCCCUGGUGGCUCAGAGGUUAAAGCGUCUACCUGCAAGGUGGAAGACCCCGGUUCAAUCCCUGGGUCGGGAA